GACAACUGAGGGAAAUCUGUUUUCACGUGACUGCUCAGGGUUUAUAGAAGGCUGUCCAGAUGAUGCUUACAGGAGCAAUGAAAAUUACAAUUAUCCUGCGUGUCAACAAAUCAACAUACAGGAUCACUGCUAUCUUGCCGAUCCUUCCUGUUCAAUAACAACACAAAACUUAGACCUUGGUGUUUAUAACACAACAACAAUAAAUAAUCAAACAACCACAAUCCAGGAGCACGACUCUGCCGAUAUUGGUGCAAAAGUAGGAGGACUGUGUGCUGGAGUGAUUGUCCUCAUCGUUCUCCUGGUCCUAGGUGUUUUUCUGUGGAGAAGAAUACAAAGGCAGAAAAAUAAG